UGGGCAUCUGGAGAUGUGAAGAGGAAAACCCCUAGAGACGUGAAGAGGAAAAACCCUAGAGAGGUGGAGGGGAAGAGCAACCCUAGCGUGGUGGAGGGGAAGAGAAACCCUAGAGAGAUUGACCUAUAUAAAAAAGGUAGUUACAUUGUUCAACUCUCACUUUUAUAAUCGGACAUUAACUAAUUCAAUAUGUUUCGUUUGUCAAACAUCACUCUUCAGCGAGUUGUUUCCAAAGGUGAAGAGGAAAAACCCUAGAGAGGUGGAGGGGAAGAGCAACCCUAGCGUGGUGGAGGGGAAGAGAAACCCUAAAAAGGUGGAGGGGAAGAGAAACCUGGAAACAACUCGCUAAAGAG